UCUUUCCACACAUGCCGCUGUGUUUAUCAGUCCCAAUGCCACUGUGGACUUUGUUUAUAAUGUUUAUGAGAUACCCUGUGUUCCUCUUGUGUGACAUUGUCUGAUUAGCCUUUUUCUGAAUUUGCAUACUUCCUUUUAAAACUGUACCUAUUGGUAUAUAUUAACAAGAGACUUGCUGUUCAGUUUGGUGCAAAUCUCCAGCCAAUCUGUGCUUAUGGUGAAAGCCAGGACUGGGAAUCACUGUGCUAAGUCCCUUCGGCUCAUUCAGUCCUGCCACUCAGGCCUCACUAGCCUAUCAGAGCCUCCAGCAGACCCGCCAGUAACAUGGGAGGGUUCUUCCGGUUGCCAGGCUUCUGGCUGAGCUUCUCUGCUGAGAGAGUCGGAAGUUUGCCUUCGGGUUGCGCUGUGUACUCUUUUAUGGGGAGAGCGCUGGCGAUCUAAGCAGCCUUGCCAUGGCAAUCAAGAAUCUGGAUAACGAACUGAACUGUCAUGAAACCAAAUUACUUCAGUUCCACCAGUUCCACCAAAAUGGAAGAACUGGAUAAAAUGGUGUGGCCCUGCCUAACAGGACUGUGUUUUCCAUGCUGAAGAUGGACAGCCUGACAACUAUGGCAUGAGCAGUAACUGGGGUGCUCUAGUAGAAAUCUCUGGAGCACAUGGCCAUAAAGCCUCUUUCAACUUUUGAGCAUGAUUUUGUGUGAUUAUAGUUACUUCAUUUCUAAUUUCUCUUUCCUGCCUCCAUGUCCUCCCAUUGACCCUUCACUGUUUUCUAAUCCAUGGCCUCUUUUUGCUUUAACAACAGUUACUGUUUGCAUGUAAACAGUGUUUGUCUGCAGAACCUCUGAGCUGUGAAGCAGAGGGUUGGCUGCACAGGACAUUGAGUGUGUAAUGGAAUGUGCACAGAAAGGACCUUGUGCCUUGGAAGAGGAACAGGAAGUCCUCUGGGAGAAUGGAAGAUUCUACUAAACUACGAAUUUCCCAGAUGAGGGCAGUGUCUGACCCUAGGGUGGAAGGGCAGAGCUGGGAAGGCCUGUGCUGUCUGAGUCAUUUGAACUCUGCUCAUCUAAUAGGGUAACCUCUAGUGUUCCAAGGCCCAGCUGGGUGGUCUUAGCUAAUGAGGGACUCUGGAAGGCUUAGCAGUCAGGAGUACCAGUUGGAGAUAGCUUAUAGGUUCUUUUCAGGUUUCUCCUCUGGUUCUCUUGUAGGGAGUUGUAAGGAAGACCACAAGCCAUGCCAUAGUGAGUAUGGGAGCCACUGUCCCCAGACCAAGAAGAGCAGGUUGGAUGAGCUAUGGGGAUCUGAGCUGCUGGGACUAGGCUAUACCAAGAGCCAGAAUGAGGUCCCAUUGGUCCCUGUGGUGACCUGGCAGUGGCCCUUGUCCUCUAAGCCCCCCUAAGUGUGAAUUCUCUGUGGAGGGGGAGGCUCUGCAGCCCUGGGUAUGAGAGGGUAUGAUGCUUGUAAUAUCACUAUCCAGUGUGCACACAAAAGAAAUUGCUUUUGGUGUGCAGUGGAAAGACAGAUUGGAAAAAUGAAGGCCUGGUUUCUAAAAGUUCUGAACAUUACAUUCCACUUUCAGGUUUCUUAUAAUUGUUACAGAUGGUUUAGAAAAUGGUGGAAAGAGGUGAUGAAGGUCAUCCUUCAGCAAUACAUAAUUAGAAUGCUUUUAACUUUCUGCUACUACCAGCCACCAUGGUGGAAUUCAGCAAAGUUCAGUUUUAGGGGACAAACAAGUUUCUGGAAUACCUCCAGAGGUAUCUCAAUUUUGCAUGGUGUUGGGCAGAUAGAGAAGAUUCCACAUCUUGUGUCAUAAUUCAUGUGGCAGGAAGCAAACAUUAAAUUAUUCUUCUACAUUGUUUUGUGAUUGGGCGUCAGUAGGGCUGUUUGCCUAAAAUGACAGUGGACAAAAAGGGCUGUAGAGCCCUAGAGCUCUAGAGGAGAUCACCUACAUUUGCAGAGAGGGCUCUAGAGCAUGGGGCCUCUCUGGAAGAAAUAUCAGUAGCUGGAGAGUAAGAAACAUAAAAGCCUGAGUCACUUUGAGUUAAUUUUGUAUGAGUUGUGAAGUCCAUGCUUCUUUAAUUUAUAUACAUGUAGAAUCACAGGUAGCAGGGUGACAUUGGUCAAGAUCAUAGUUAUCCUGGCUGACUUUUCUUUGGUCUUUUUAUGAAAAGUUGAUUGUAUUUUCCUACUUUUGAUCUUGGUUUAUUCUCUCCAUCCCCUUUAUUCUUUCACAAAUAUUGUACACAUUUUUUUAUUAUUGUAGCUUUGUAGUAAAUAUAGAAGUCACAUUGUGUCAAUCUCUACUGUUUUUUCAUAAUCCCAUUGAGCAUUCUAACGCUCAUGAGUAGGAAGGUAGAUAUGCAUAGUUAGUAUAGAAAAAGUUAUAUUUUAUUAUGUUGGUGGUCAUCACACAAGGUUCAUACUCGCUAAUUUCCUAACUAUGGUCCCUAAACCUAUUUCUCUAAGGUUGCUCACCUGUAUCUCAGCUGAAGGUGAAAUCCAGUCUUUAACAGAAGGUCAGGAUCCUGGGGGGGGGGUGCUCUGGCCACAGGGCUAAACAAAGUGAUGUCUCUCUAAAUGUGCAUUGCUCUUGGUAUCUACUUAUAGACUGUUCAGUGGGUGUCAUGAGGUUGUAGACUUUGUCUGAUUAUCUGGAAUGAGUUAUCACUGAUUUCUGGUUAUUAGGUAUAGACUUGGGUGUAGUCGGGUUCCUGACUAAGCUAAUUUUUUAUAUCGAAGAGGCUUUAAAAAAAAAAAAACUAUGCUCAUUACAUCACAUCUCCUUGAGGUAUACACACUGCUUAUGAGGGCCACAUAUAAAAAUUAUUAGCAA